CAAAGAACUCAUUCAGAGAAUUCCAUGGCUACUUGUCACCCUCAGCCCACUCUGCUGCAUCUCCAAGGGUUGGGAGAGGGAGGCUCUACUUUGCCUAACUUUUUCUUUUAUGUGUGUGGGUGUUUUGCCUGCAUUCACAUCUGCCUCAGGUGUGCACAGCUCCCCCUCUAAAGGGCAUGGGAAGAACAAACUAAUAACGUCUGCCCAGACCGUCGGCAAGACUUCACCUGAGGGCGAAAGCAUAAAAAUGAGUAGGUAUUUCACAAUCUAUCGAACAUGUAUCUAUACAAAUUGUGGCGAUAACAGAAACACAAACAUGAUACCAGACCCGAGUCUUGGCAGUGAUUAUGGCCAUGUGAUCUCUAUUGCCUAGGCCAAGGUUUCAGCAGAUAGGUCUAUCUCAGUGUAGCUCUGGUCCAGAACUUGCCAUGUAGACCAAGCUGGCCUUGAACUCAGAUCAGUAAGUGCUGCUAUUAAAUGCAUUUGCUACCUUG
rnacentral:lncRNA from 1 species